rnacentral:rRNA from 1 species
AUUGAACGCUGGCGGCAGGCCUAACACAUGCAAGUCGAACGAGUGGCGGACGGGUGAGUAAUGUCUGGGAAACUGCCCGAUGGAGGGGGAUAACUACUGGAAACGGUAGCUAAUACCGCAUACCCUCGGAUGUGCCCAGAUGGGAUUGGCUUGUAGGUGAGGUAACGGCUCACCUAGGCGACGAUCCCUAGCUGGUCUGAGAGGAUGACCAGACAGACUGGAACUGAGAAACGUUCCAGACUCCUACGAGGGGCAGCAGUGGGGUAUAUUGCACAAUGUGCGCAAGCCUGAUGCAGCCAUGCCGCGGGUAUGAAGAAGGCCUUCGUGGUGUAAAGUACUUUCAGCGGGGAGUCGUUACCAGCAGAAGAAGCACCGGCGAACUCCGUGCCAGCAGCCGCGGUAAUUC